AACGUAGGACGCAAGCGUUAUCCGGAGUUACUGGGCGUAAAGCGCGGGCAGGCGGCUCGAUGCGUCUGAUGUGAAAUCUCCUCGCUCAACGGGGAGAGGCCAUUGGAAACGGUCGGGCUGGAGGGCAGUAGAGGCAGGCGGAAUUCCGGGUGUAGCGGUGGAAUGCGUAGAGAUCCGGAAGAACACCGGUGGCGAAGGCGGCCUGCUGGGACAUGGCUGACGCUGAGGCGCGACAGCGUGGGGGAGCAAACAGG
rnacentral:rRNA from 1 species